GUUUGUGUUGGAUGGUGAUUCAGUGUGAUUACUGGUUAAUAUACUCGCGUGUCUGCAACUGUAUUACAAUUUUGUUCGUACUCCAAGUUACCUGACAGACAGGCACCAUGUCUCCCUCUCAGUUUCCAGCUCUGAUGCUGCUUCUGGUCUCCAGCUCCUGGGCCUCAUAUUUCCAUGGAGGGACCAUGACCUUUAAACUCAGAGGGACCAACCCUGACGGAACCUACAGGGUGGAACUUCGCUACAAGACAGGCUUUCACUCCUGCCCUGACUCUGAUCCCUUUACCUGGACGUGUGCCAGUGGAGACUGUGGAAAUCAGACCAGUCUAGUAGUUCAGACAGUGGAUGAGCAGACAUCUGGAGACUACAUCUGGUGUCAGAAAGAGGGAGUCAUGACUCAAAGUGUCUCCAAUAAGACCAACACUUUUGAUCUGAAUUAUAUCGGCGGUAAUUGGAUAUUCAACCACAACAGCGUUGUUGGUUGGAGGCUGUUGACCCAUGUGGAUCUUGGGGUCAGGUCUGACACAGGGAAAGCCAACCGAUCUCCCCAGACCACUGUCAUUCCUCUGAUGCGUGUCCCUGUUAAUUGUCAGAGACAUUUCCAGUUGUUGAACUUUGACCCAGAUGGAGAUGAGGUCAGAUGCAGAUAUGCAGAACCUCCAAACGAGUGUGUCACAGCAAGUAACGUUACAUCAAGUAACAUGCCUCAGGACUUCAGCAUACAACUGGUGUCCUGCACUUUGUCCUUUUCCAGCAUCAGUAAUACCACUGGAACGUAUGUUGUUCAGAUGGUGAUGGAGGAUUUUCCUAUUCAGUCCAUCUCUCUCUUCUACAAUGACGGAACUCAAUCUAACAGGACUUCUGGUGAUACACUCAGCAAACUUCCCGUUCACUUUGCAAUAAGAGUGGAUCCCGCUGUUCCGUCCUGUACAGAGGGGGACUACCUACCCAUGUUCCUGUCUCCAACACCAGACCAGGGAGCAGUGCUCCUCGCCUCCACAGACCAACCACUGGAGAUCACUGUCAGAGCUCAGGCUACCCAGUCCACGGCUACAGAGCUGUUGGUGAGUGGACCUCAGAACAUCACAAAGAACACCACCAGCCCAGGACUGUACCUUCUAAGAUGGACGCCUACUACAGAGGAUGGAGGGGCUUAUCCUGUGUGCUUCAUCGCUCAGGGACUGAAUGGCAGUUCCCUGUACCAAUCUGAGCUGCGCUGUGUCAUCAUCCGUGUUGGAAACGAAAGUGCUCCUACAUCUACCAUUCCAAACAUAACCACCAAUCUCCCAGCCAUCUUAACUACCAAUCCCACAACCACCUCAAUCACCAAUCCCACAACCACCUCAAUCACCAAUCCCACAACCACCUCAAUCCCCAAUCCCACAACCACCUCAAUCCCCAAUCCCACAACCACCUCAAUCCCCAAUCCCACAACCACCUCAAUCUCCAAUCCCACAACCACCUCAAUCCCCAAUCCCACAACCACCUCAAUCCCCAAUCCCACAACCACCUCAAUCCCCAAUCCCACAACCACCUCAAUCCCCAAUCCCACAACCACCUCAAUCCCC
ensembl:lncRNA